rnacentral:lncRNA from 1 species
UUUUUUUUACCUCUACUUCCACACCCACGCCUAAUCACACUUUCUCACUCACCGUCUUGUUUUCUCUUCGCCGGCGAUUUUCUUCUCCUCCUCACUAUCUCGUUGUGGUUCUUCUCAGCGGUCAUCCGUCGCCGGAUAUCUCAGCAGUUGUGCUGAUCUUGACUCUGCGCUUCUCAACAGUUCUCACAAUCGAUCUCCGUCGUCGGUCUUCGAUCUCCGUCAACAGUUUCCUCUCACUCCCGUAGUCCCCUCCGUCGACCACUCCAACGCACAUUGUCUUCCCCACAGUCUUGUGAGUUUUUGACAAACCCAUUUGUCACAUCUUAUCCCUAUUUAUAUCAUCUUCUUCUCCAUUUCGUUGAAGAAAACCAUCGUUGUCUCUUAUGAUGAUUAUUCCGAACCCAUUUGUUAUGAUGACUAUUUUGAUGAAUCCGUCGUUUUCUCUUUCACUUUGAUGAGUAUUCGUUUUCUUGUCAUUACUAUUUUGAUUGUUUAGGGUAGCCCUAAUUUAUCAUGGUCUGCGUAGCCCUCACAUUUCAUGACUAGAAAUCUGGUUUGUUUCGCACUAAAUUUUUUAUUUUUAUUUGGCUUAUGACUGAAUUGAUUUUAUCGUUCUACAUUUUUAUUGAUUUUUGUGAUUGUUGUGUCUGUCAUAGUUGUGGUUGUUAAUGUGUAGUUUCAUAUAUUUUUUUCUAUUGUUGGUCAUUACGUAGUUAAUGUCGUGUCUGAAAAUGUUUUUUGGUGUUCAAAAAAAUUAUUUGUUUUUUGGUGUUCCAUUUUAUUUUGUUUGUAUUGAAGAUGUAGUUUGUAUUGAAUGAUUCGUAUAUUUUAAAUCUGAAUUCAUAUUGUUCUUUAUUAUAAGUUCAUAUCGUCUCCGUUAAUGUGUUUAUUAAAGUUCUUUCUAUAUUCAAUUUUCUAUAUUAAAAUGCUUCCAACUAAUUUUUGAAAAAUGAUUUCAACCAUUUGAAGAACAACUUGUCUGUCUUUGUCUUCCACAUGCACAGACUUGAAUGGUUUGAUAUUCAUGGGCAAGUAGUUCAUAUAGUCAGGAGAUGUAAAAGCCUCUAAUAAGGAACAAUCAAUUAAUGCAUAUAUUAAGUAGACAAUAGAAUGAACAAAUUCAAGAACAAUGGUUUAAACGGCCUGUGGAACAACUGCUAUAUAUAUGACUGUAAGUAAUGAGAUAAACAAAAAAGAGACAGUGGGGACGUAGGAGAAUGUAAAGGGAAAUAAUGGAGUGAGAGACUGAGAGUAGUAGGAGACAUAAGUGAUUAAGAAAGGGAACAAGAAAUAAUGGUUAGAACCAAUUAUGAAACAAUGGUUUGAACCAUUUCUAGAACAUUGAUUUGACCCAAUUUAAAGACAAUGGUUUCAACUAUUUAUGAAACUAUGGUUUGGGUUGUCGCAGGGGCAAUGGUCUGAACUGUUGAACGAACAAUGAUUUGAGCUGUCGGGGGAACAAUGGUUUGAACAGGCAGACGAACAAUGGUUUUAGCCGUUGGAGGGACAAUGAUUUGAGUCGUUGGAGGGACAAUGAUUUGAGUCGUUGAAGGAACAAUGGUUUGAAUUUUUGGAGGAACAAUGGUUUGGGUUAAUUGAGGACGUCGGUUUGAAGCGUUUGAAGAACAAUGGUUUGAACGUUGGAGGAACAAUGAUUUGAACCGUUGGAGGAACAAUGGUUUGAACGUUUGGAAGAACAAUGGUUAAGGUAGGGUGAAAAGAGAAUAGGUGUCAUAGGUAGGUAAGGUAGAGAAGAAGAAUAUAUAGAAAUCUUGAGAUUUGUGCAAACAAAAUUAAUAAAAAAACUAUAAAAUAAUGGACGGUUUAGAUGUGACUGACUAAAAUCGGACGGCUCAGCUAGAGUGAGCGCUUUUGAGCUCACUCUAGGCUGAGCUUCUCUGAAAAUUCCUGGUGAAUAUUAAUAUACUUAAUUGGUUAACAAUUUAUAUAAAUUAAAUAAAUACAAAGAUAAUAAACACAAAGAUUUAUUCUAAUUCACUCAAUUUAUGGGCUAUUAUAUAUAGUCUGUUGAAUGCGUAAUUCACUGGUCUAAAUGUAUUGACAAAAUAUGUAUAAGUUUUAGGAUAUGAAGCUUAUAUAUGAACUAUACUGUAAGUUUUUGACUACAACGUUUAUGUUUUACGGUACAAAUUAAAUUAAAUCUGUUUUAGAUAGAUUAAUUUAAACUUUAGAAUACAUUUCUGAAACUCUUAACUAAAAACCGUUUUACCUAUUCUUUUAAGGUAGACUUGCAGCUAAGAGUAUUUCGAGAUACUCUAUAAAACCUAUGGAUCGACCUUUUUGUUGAAGGUUAGAGUUCAGGGGAGUUGGAGGAAAGGUAAUCGGAGAAGAGAGUGCAGGAGUUGCAACAGUUAUGAUUCAAUUGAUUAAAUGUAUUACUGUUGCAGUGUUUGUAUAUAUACUACUAUUAUGUAACUAUUACUCUUAUACCCUUAUGGGGUUAUUUAUCUUUCUGACCCUUCAUGGGUUUAUUUCUUGUUGCAUUACCCUUUACACUUUUCAGUUAGAUUGCUAAAACUCUAUAAAACAGA